rnacentral:rRNA from 1 species
AAUAGGGUGGUACCGAAAGAAGAAAGUCCAACUCGCCGAGAGCGCGCCAAUCUCAAAAGACAGUCCUCAGUUCGGAUUGGAGUCUGCAACUCGACUCCAUGAAGUUGGAAUCGCUAGUAAUCGCGGAUCAGCAUGCCGCGGUGAAUACGUUCCCGGGCCUU